UGAUGAAGCUUGACCUUAGAAGCUCUGUAAAUUCUCUUCUUGCUCCUUUGAAAUGGCCCUACCGUCUGCUAGAGAAGUCACAAGUCAAUGAUGGUUGUUGCAUUAAAGCACUCAACAGAUCGCUACUUAAUCCCCAUCCAUUUUUAAAAGGAGUUCACCAAGAUGUUUCAGGUGGAAGAAAAGAAUACUGAAGAGUCUAAUGGCCCUCAAAGUACUAUUUCCACUGCCAGUUUUCACCGCAGAAGCACAGGAAACACCUCAAAGUCCUGCAAAGAGAUGGGUACAACCUCGUGGACAACUGUUGGGCCAAUGCUUUGGUUUUCGGCAGUACACAAACAGAAAGGUCCUGGGCAGCAAGUAACAACAUGAGAUAAGAAAAGAAACCCUACUGGGGUGCCUAAGUGGUUCAGUUGGUUAAGCAUCUGACUCUUG